CCUCAAUCGUAACUCCGAUUUUGAUUAUGUUUGUGCUUACGCAUUCGUACUGUCAAAUACUUCAAGAAUACAGUAAAAUAAUAGCUCAUACAUGUCACGAAAUAACGAUCAACGAAAAUCAACAAUCUCACAUUUAGAGGCAUUUUUGUUAUUCUAUUUUUAAAAUUAAUAAAAUCGUAAAAUUAAGGAUGGGGUAUCACACUCUCUCUUUCAUUUCUCCCUCACUUUGCACACUCUCUUUCCCUCAAACUCUCCUUCCCUUUACUCUUUAACUCUUUAUUCUCUAUGAAAACACAUAGAAACCUGCAGAAACCACCACCAAUUCUCCUCGUUUAUUUGUCCUUCCCAAAACCCAGAAAUAAAUACCACGAGUUUGAAACCAAGCUUGAGGCCUUACACCACACAGUGGCUUCUGCACUGUUCAGAGCAAGUCCACACCUAAAAAAAUGUGUCAGCACCCAGUCUAUUUAAUCCACUCAAUAAAUAGUGAUAAAUCCCAAUAAAUAGUAAUAGACCAAAUGUAUCCACUGCUAAAACUAAAUAACCUAGUAAAUUUUAUUAAAAUAUUAUUAAUUUUUAUUAUAAAUAAUAAAAAUUAAUCCCCCUCUCCCUUAUAAUCUUCAACCUUACCUUAAUCCUUCUCUGACUCACCUGAUUUCCACAAUCCAAUCCACACCCACAACCCAACCCACACUUCGAAACGACGCCGUCAAACCCACCAAACUUUGAACACUGACAACGACCACCCUCUUCCCCACACGUCUCGCAAUCACACUCAGCUGUGCCCUUCCCCAACUCAUCCACCCAACGCACCGUUUUGACACCGAUUUCACCAGCCGAGUUCGAUCCCUGUGCCAAGCAACCGGAGCCCUAAGAUUGGCGGAGUGGAAAUCUAGAAGAGGAAUGAGGGAUUUGAGAUAGGGUGUAGAUGAAGAAGGCGUACGGGUGUCUAUCAACGGAGUUAUGGAAUAGGAUCAGAUGGGGUUCCAGGGAUCAGGAGAUGUCGGAGGCACAACGGAGAGUGAUUGAGGUAGAGAUUGCGCGGAGGGUGGUGCAUGUGAGAAAGAUGAUGGCGAGUUCUUGUGGAGUUAGCCAUGGCGUCAGAUGGGCCAUCCCAUGGGUUUGUCGAUUCUGGGCCUGCGUAUGGCCUGGCUUGGGCUGGGUGCCAACCUAUUAGGCUGGGGUGGAAUUGCUCUCACUGUCUUCCCCGACGAAAUCUCGGCGAGUUCUUGAUGACUCUAACUAAGAUGGUAAAAAUGCUAUCAACAAGACACCCAAAGACCUUCAAGUGGCCAUAAGAGGGGAAUUUACAAUUUACGAUACCAUUUUUCGAAAGGGGUUUUUUUUUUAAAGAAGAAAAGUAGGUAAACAUUUAAUCAAGUAAACUGUUGUGUAGAAACAAUCCUCCCAUAAAUGAACAGGAAGAUGUGCUUGAAAUUGUAAAACCCCAGUGACUUCAAGGAUAUGGUAGUGUUUGCACUCGACUA